UACGUAGGGUGCGAGCGUUGUCCGGAAUUAUUGGGCGUAAAGGGCUCGUAGGCGGUUUGUCGCGUCGGGAGUGAAAACACCGGGCUUAACUCGGUGCUUGCUUCCGAUACGGGCAGACUAGAGGCAUGCAGGGGAGAACGGAAUUCCUGGUGUAGCGGUGAAAUGACGCAGAUAUCAGGAGGAACACCGGUGGCGAAGGCGGUUCUCUGGGCAUGUCCUGACGCUGAGGAGCGAAAGUGUGGGGAGCGAACAGG
rnacentral:rRNA from 1 species